UGGGGAAUUUUGCACAAUGGGCGCAAGCCUGAUGCAGCGACGCCGCGUGAGGGAUGAAGGCCUUCGGGUUGUAAACCUUUUUCGCUCAUGGUCAAGCCGCAGCUUUGGGUUGUGGUGAGGGUAGUGGGUAAAGAAGCGCCGGCUAACUACGUGCCAGCAGCCGCGGUAAUACGUAGGGCGCGAGCGUUGCCCGGAAUUAUUGGGCGUAAAGGGCUUGUAGGCGGUUGGCCGCGUCUGCCGUGAAAUCCUCUGGCUUAACUGGGGGCGUGCAGUGGGUACGGGUUGACUUGAGUGCGGUAGGGGAGACUGGAAUUCCUGGUGUAGCGGUGGAAUGCGCAGAAAUCAGGAGGAACACCGGUGGCGAAGGCGGGUCUCUGGGCCGUUACGGACGCUAAGGAGCGAAAGCGUGGAGAGCGAACAGG
rnacentral:rRNA from 1 species